rnacentral:rRNA from 1 species
UACGUAGGGGGCAAGCGUUGUCCGGAAUUAUUGGGCGUAAAGAGCGCGCAGGCGGUCGUUCAAGUCGAGUGUGAAAGCCCCCGGCUCAACUGGGGAGGGUCACUCGAUACUGAUCGACUCGAAGGCAGGAGAGGGAAGUGGAAUUCCCGGUGUAGUGGUGAAAUGCGUAGAUAUCGGGAGGAACACCAGUGGCGAAGGCGGUUGCCUGGAGCUUUGCUGACGCUGAGGCGCGAAAGCGUGGGGAGCGAUCCGG